AAUAGGACCCCAAACGUCAGAAUGAAUAGUAGCAAAAGGAAUCAAAUUAUUAUUAUUAAUUGGAGAAUAAGAAUGCCUGGUGUGUUUGGCAAGUUCACAAGCAUCACAUACUAAUGAAUUAAAAUCACAUUUAGCAAACAAAGUGGGAAAUAAACGUCCUAAAAUAGAAAAAGAGGGAUGUCCUAAUCUCCUAUGCCAUUGAAUAACUUCAUGGGAAGGAUUUCUAGAAAUUCCUAACAAAGCUUGAC
rnacentral:lncRNA from 1 species